GAUCCUUGUUCUACCUCUUCAUCAGAGGAGGAGAUAGAAGAAAACCGUUACAGUACACAUAGACAACUGAAAUGUUUGUUUUUUUAUGUGUCCAAAAGACAGGCAGCUCCCAAUUUCUAAUGUUCCUAUCAAAUUGACUGUUACAAUCUUCACGGGAUUUGUCGCUCAUGUCUGAUGUAGAAUUUGCUGCAGCCUUUCUGAAUUUCACAGCCACAAUGCAUUGGAAGAUGGAGGCUGUGAGUUCUGAUAGCUAGAUCUCUUCAAGUAAACAACUUGGAAGAUGGCGAAUAGUGAAGCUUCUGCGGAGGUGUUCAAAUGAUCUAGGUGAAGGAGUGUGAGUUGGAGGGGCAGUUGUCACGUGCAUGGGUGAAAAAGAACUGGGAGAACCAUAAGCAAAAAUACACGGAGUUGAAAGCUCCCUGCACCAGAGUCAGCACGGAGGGAGGGGAGGCCACAACCGCAUACUGGAAAUGGUAUGCGGUGAUGGAUGAGGUGCUGCAGGGUAUGCCACUCCAUCACCCCACCGGUCAUCAUCUCCUCCUCUCCCUCCCAGAAGGGUCCAGAUGUGGUGGCGGGAGAAGGAUGUGACUGCCAGGGAGGCACGCCGUUUGGCUAUUUUAUAGGCCAUGAUUAAGAAGUAUUUUUAUGUAUUUUAUGCAUAGCUAUUCAGUUAUUCAUUUUCUACUGUUUUUAGUGAAAUCCUUUUUAAAACCCAAAGUGGAUUUCUGUUUUCAUUAAAAAGUAUUUAUUGUUUGUAAUAAAAACAUAUGUUUGAUACCGGUACAUCUACUGUUGUGUUU